rnacentral:lncRNA from 1 species
CUUGCACUUUAGUGUUUCAAUCCUGAGCCAAUUCAUUUUAAUUGAUUUUGAUGCUAUGAUCUUUAAAGGAGUAAAAGAAAGUCUUUAAGAGAGCUUUAAAAGAACUUUCAAAGCCCUGAAUUUUAUGUAUCCUACAUUGCAUAAAUUCAUAUUUUGGUAUCUAUGCCCCAAUACUUUUAUAUCAUGAAAGAACUUUGAAGUCAUUAAGAAUUAAGGAUUCAACAUAAUCUUAUGUUUUUCGAGUAUAUAAGUUUUGAUCUUUAUCUGCUCUUAUACUAUACUCU